rnacentral:tRNA from 1 species
UCCCUGGUGGUCUAGUGGUUAGGACUUGGCACUUUCAUUGCUAUGGCCUGGGUCCAAUCCCUGGCCAGGGAA